CUCCAAUUUUUUUGUUUUUACUGCUUAAAACUCAGAAAUGUCAACUACUGAGUAGAAGGGGAACACACCAGAAGAUAAAAUUAAAGAUAUUUCACAAUGUGAAUCACAAAAAAAAUCCCCACAAACAACCAGGGAAUAAAUUAUUUGAUUUCAUAAAUGCAUAAAAAUGAAUGACAAAACAUCAGUUAUUCUAAGAAAUAACUGUAAGCUGCAACAGAAAAGACUCCCAUCUUUUUAGACAAACUACUGCAACAGUUUUAUGACAGUAAAACUCUUCACAUUAACUCUCACUAAGGAAGGGGAGACGUCCCAAAAUGCCACGCUGUUACAAAUAAAAACCUGUUUAUUUGGUAAGGAGCUUUUCUGUUGGACACCAAACAAGUUUAGCUUAUUCUGGCAAAAGUUUGGUCAGGUUUGAAUCACUUAGUUUCUGCAGAGUAGCCAGCUGUGCUAUGAACGUACAGAAAACUGGGAGCACGGCCAGUUCCUCCCUUAUUUGGUCUUCAGGUGAGCUAUUGAUCAUUAAACAGCUGCAACCUAAGCUAACCCGGUGGAAAUAAAUAAAAACAGAAGCUGAGUGUAAUUUGUAACCGCGACUGUUCCAGUAAAUCAUUUAAAACACGACGAGAUGCAACAGGCUGGUUCAGGUUUGGCCACCUCUCUGAGAGGGAACCAAAGCUCCACCAAACCAUUCACAGUGAGGGAUUUCCAGUGGAAGACGUAAAAUAAGCUGUCCCUCAGUUAGAAAGCAAACAAUAAACCCACUUUCAAAUAUAUGU